GGCGCCGGGUGCCCCAGGCCAAGCAGAUGGCCGUUGUGGGCAGUCCCGCAGAGCCCAGCCAGAAAUGUCCCUGAGGAAAGUAUUCCCGGGACCCAGCCCGGGCUGUGCGGAAAAGAGCGCGCGGAGCAGGGCUGGCUUACUGCCUCCACGCCCGCCUCGGUUCCCCCGUAGUUCAUCUGCCUGGAUGGGGGUCCUUGUCCCCAGCUGAGCCGCGCACGCUUCGGUCUCCUUCGCCUCCGCGCACUGAUGGCUUGAAACCAAAUGUACUUUCUGUUAAUACUCAGAACCAUGGCCUUGCUAAAGAUAACUCUAAAUACAUGCAUUACAAUUUGUUUAAAGCUUCGGUGGCAAUAAUCAGGAAAGGAGUAGGGCACCAGGAAGAAAGAAGUCUGGCAUCUUGGCUGUGGGCCCUGGUGACCUGGGCUGGUCUCAGAUGUGGGGCAGGACUGAACUCCAAGCUGAAAACUAUGAAGGAUGAUCUGAGAGGCAGCCUCAGGAAUGAAACCAGAGUCACAAGCCAGCACACAGUACAACUGAGGCAUCAAUCCAACCAGGCUGCACAGGUGACACCCCAGGGCUGAGGCCUAUGUCAGGGGAGAGCCUGCAAACGAUAGAAAAGGAUCAGGAGACUAACUUAGGGCAAAGGAGUGGGAGAGAUUGGAAGAAAAUAAAAUCAUAGGAAGAACUAAAGACACAGACUUGGCAGAGACCGGAGCUGGGAGACAGCUGAACUCAGAAUCUUCUUUUUGGACUUUGCCUUCCAAAAGAGUCAACUGCUUCUCUGUAUAGACUUGUGUGAAUGACCUGGAAUCCCAAGAACUUGGAAAGACCCAGCCUACACCAUGAUAGGUGGUGGGGUGAGUGGAGAGCUCCCUGGCUGAUGUGUGUACUGUGACCACAGGGAGAUGUACGUGGAUACAGAACAGAGACUCUGGAGGGCAGAGGCAAGCUCUCCAUUACA